GUGAACUGCCCACCCAGCUACGUUACAGUAAAGCGAUUGUCAUGAGUGGGUGAAUGAAAACCCCACUCUCUAAUAUAGCAGAGAAUGAGUUGCUAGUUCCAAUAAAAUAACUCUCCGUUGUCAGUGUAGAGUAAUAGAUAGGUCAACUAAAAUGAAGUAAUAUCUGAGCUUAGCGAUAUCUAGUCAGUCGUAGUUGGACAACAGGUCGUACUAGCCAUAAAUCUUAGUUAAGGUCAAAAAAUGUAAAAUUAAGUGUUGUAAAUAUAUUCGGUUAAUUGUAAUUUAAAGAAUCAGAAGCAUAAAACUUCCCAUCGUGUUGGGGGAUUGCUGGCCAACAUACAGUCCACUUCAAGCAACCGCAUUCCCAAGGACUCUCCCCCAACAUUUGGUCCUUCGAGCCGGAUUCAACCAAAAGGAAAUAAGAACGCUUCUGCUAUGGUAGCAGAAAUACCCAAAUGGAUACCACCAUCAUACAAAAUCUACGGUCAUACAAGGAUGAUAUAACCGCCAUCGCAGGCGACCAAGUGAAAGGAACUUCGCCAUUACUGGAAACCAACAAUCGUCUGGUGCAUAGGAGAGGAACAAUAAUAGUAAAAAUGGACUACGAAGCUACUAACCAGAAUGUUCUGUGAUCGGAUCACACCUUCACGGAUGUCGAACUGCUGCACUGGCGAAAAUGCCUUUUUCUCAGGUAAAUAAAAGGUGCAGUAUAUGUCCGCCGAGGCAGGCCAAAUUCCUAAACUAACACCAUAAUUUCAUCAUUUUCUCACCAAUCAACAUCAUUGGCACAAUCGGAGCUCAUCUGCGAUAGGUGCAUCGUUUGCUUGGACCAAUUAUUGGAAUCCUUUGGCCGCUUCAAACGCAUUGGCAAACGGUAUCGAGGAUAAAAUUCACGGCAACUAUGGCUACAUAGAACAAUCCUUAACAGCACACCAUCUUCGGCUGUUAAGUGCAGACCUUCACUAAGAAAUGAAAACAUAUUAAGAUGGUAUGCAGAACACCAACACCACAUUAGUUUGCACUACACGACGGAUCAUCAUUUCACGAGAGACAGUCAUUGAACAUUAUCUCUGUGAUAGCACUGGAGCUCACUGAGUUAACUCUUCGGCAUCAGCAAGCACUCAUCGAACCAGAAGAAUGACGUCAAAAAUAUCUCCAAUUACUGGCGACAAUAUUUCCAAGGCUAUGCUGUGAUGAAUGGGCUCUACAUCCAGAGGAUUGGGAUUGUCUUCUAAUAUCCAUUAUGAACGAUUCACUAUGGAUAGGAUGUUAUCUGCAGCAACAGCUGUUGUUGGUGCACUUGCAAUGGAUGUUUCAUUCCAUCUAAUCGCGGUAACACGAGAUCAAACUGGAGUUGCACUUAUGUUUUCAGACAUCACUAAGUUAGCAUCAUCUUCUAUUCUUCAAGGUAAAUAUAAACACUUAGUGUAUGUUCUGCCGAAGCUUAGAGAUUUCCAUGGCUAACACUGUUUUAUUCCGUAUCUUACACCAUAACAUCGGACUAAACGUGACUUUGAGGCAACGGAGGAAACUGAACAACUGAGCCACAUCAUGAUGACUUCCACACCUUGGUAACCGAAUAUCAACGUUCAACUAUAGGAUCUCAAGUGAGCGCCUGCUGUAGUAUUACUUUUGGGCUGGACAAUACAUGGACAUUGUGAUUCGGUUUCGGUGGAAGGAAUGCCGAAAUAUAUUCGGACGUUCGGAGCUUGCGAUAGUCACUACACCACCACAAGAAAUUACUAUGGAAAAUUGGUUGUAAAAUUGGAUACCAGCGGAGGAUGAAACAUCUUUUGGCAAUGGAAACUUCGUGACGAACAUUGCUCAUGUAACGAGCGUAUUACUAAUAAUUGAUCCGAAGCAGUGAAAUCGUCUGCGUAUUUAACCGAGAGAUGUUGGAUAGCUAUACCGUAGGUUUGGAGAGGCUGCUGCAAGUGAUAUCCGUUAAGGUUAGUAACUACAAAUGUAUAUGUCCGGCCGAAGCACGGACGAAUGUUUACUACACUAACCCAACUUCCUCUCCACAAUCUACAUGGUCGAUAUGCAUCGCACACACGGAGUUGUACGGUAUCACUAUCACACCACUGCAAUCAUCUGAAGAUACCAAUCUAGAGAGCGGGAGAGCACUUUAUGAUGGGAGCUUAUUCAAGAUACAAUUGGGCUUAAGGAA